ACCAAAAUACGGCAUGAUUAAUAUAUUCACAUUUCAUUCCCCUUGAUAAAAUAGUUAGGACAUUAUCCUUAUUUAAAAGAGAGUCCACCUCGCGUGCUUAAUCCUAACUAUUUUCUUUUCCUUGCGAUCACGAUUCACUUGCAAGAUAUUAACACAUCGAUCAACAGAAGGAAUCAAGCAAUAAAGGCUUCAAUUAUUUUUAUCGGUAAGCUUACAUUUCUUUCCAAUUAGAAACUUAGUAAUUUCGAUUAAGUCGCCCCAAAGAAUUAAACAAAGCAGCCCACUAGAUAAAUAUAUAACACAUACUCCCAAGCCCAAAACAAAUAGCCACUGACCUAAAGAAAAAAAGAAUUAGUACUCCCAUUUUAAAAUCACACGCACACUCCCUCACAUUCCAACAAACACUAAUUCAAUUAAUAACCAAGGAUUAAACAAAAAGAACACAUACUCCCAUUUUAAAUCCCAUCGGCUACACUCUCUCCACAGAGAAAUAUCCCCCAAGAACACAACACUAAAAUAAAAAAAAUUAGCUCCGCCGCUGCCGGUUCCAAUUCGUCGCCCCACACACACCGCUAUCGUCGCUCGGCGCCACAGCAGCCGCUGCGUCGCUGUUCGCCUGCUCCGGCAGCCUCGAUUCCACCCGGAAACAGCCCCGUUCUUCCUUUAAAGAUUUUGGUAAACGGCAGUGUAGAGUACAUGGAUGCAAAUGGAGUAAUUAAGAGAGGGAAGAAGAAUACCGCUCUUGGACUUUAGUUGAUAAAGGAAUGCAGAAGAAAAACUCUUCUUGAUUUGUUUGGCUCUUGCAAAUUUAGUUGUUGGAGAGAAUUUUCGCAGAUGGUAGAGAGCACAAAGAUUGACAAGUAGCAGUAUAACAAAAUCGUGUAAUCAUUGGAAAGAACAGAUUUUUGGAGGAUUUGAUUACCGUCAAUGUGAAUCGAAUUUGGGAAGGAAGGAAUUGGAUUAUAUGGAAUCCCUUCAUCCUUUGCUAUCUCUUCUCAUCACUGUGAAUCUUCUCUUCUCGGUUGUGAGUAUUUGAGAUUGUAUGAUUUAAUUGAAUUAAUUUGGGAUCAA